rnacentral:tRNA from 1 species
GCCGGGAUGGUGAAAUGGCAGACACAGGGGACUUAAAAUCCCCCGGUAGCAAUACCGUGCGGGUUCGAUCCCCGCUCCCGGCA